CGCGCAUCUCGGCAUUUUGACUAAGUGCAAAUGUGGUAUCUAUUCUUAUCAGUUUAAUCUCUGAUACAUCCCCUACGUGGGGACCAUAUAUUAAAUUGUUUUGUUGGAACAGGGAGAUUGAUUAUGGGUCUUGCCCCACCCACUCCACGCAUUGACCUGAUAUUGCAGUAUCUCCAGGAACUGUGCCGCCCCC